ensembl:lincRNA
CACAAUUUUCAGGCUACUCAUACUCAAGGUUCUCAUGGCCUUCGCAGAUGUACCCACAAAAUUUCGAUUCAGUGAAAAUGCGCUACGCUUGUCACGAGCCUGCUACGGGAGCCCAGGAAGGGAAAGCAGUGACUGUCCAGAAGGGGCUGGAGACCUCAAGGCCGGGCCUGUGCUGGCUCCUUGUUUCAGGGGCUCCGGUCGGGUCCUCCUCUAUUCCAUCACCUACGGAACACAGCCCAAGGGAUGGGGGGCCUCAGAAUGUUCCUAGGUACAGCAAGCAGGCUUUCCAGGACAACCCUGGCUCCUGGACUUUCUCCCGAGGACAAGCCGUGACAACGACGUGACUGCCUAUCCCUCAGCGGUGGUCGUGAUGAAUUCAAGUGCAGGACAGAGAUAGAAAUAGGAAGAGAAGGGAAUUUGAAGAGUUCAAGCCAUCAUGACAUCGUCCUAAACAUCCUUACAGAGAUAGCUGGCUACGAACCAGUGGCUCUGAGCAGUUUUCUUCCAACGCUGGAAGAGACUGGUAAGAGAUUCCCGUGUCUCAUUGGACAAACGGCAAGGGUCUAUGGAGCUGCUGGGCACGUGGAUGAAGUGAGAGCCAGGAGCUGCCUGGUGUACCUGGUAAGCCAGCUAGAGGAUAUGGAACAUUCAUUUCAUCCUAUUCUCCUGCUAGAGAUCAAGCGCAUCACCGACAGCUUCUCCUCCAUCCUGGGCCCUCAGAGCAGGGACAUCUUCUGCAUCAGCAACAGCUUUACUACCAUUGCCAAGCUCUUGUGCAGACAACUGGAAAACACCAGGACUGUUGGUGACAGGAGAAAAACCAGCACUGAUACUGGGCUCCCUGAGAAAAUAAGACAAGUCAAUCUCGAGGUAGCUAAAAGUGAAGACCAUGAAAAGCUUCAAGUUAAAAUCCAGGCUUUUGAAGACAAAAUGAAUGCUGAAAGCAACACUCCGGGAUCUAUCAGAACACACAGCUUAAGCCAUAUUUCCAAGGAAGAAAGAAAAAGCAUUAUAUUUAACAGGUCAAAAAGUUUGGCUUUGCACACUGUGCUCACAAAGGGUGUGAGUUCGGAUGACAGGGAAGAGGAAGCGAGCGCAGGAACAGCGGUCGGCAUCUCUCUUUCAGAAACAGACCCACGAAGCCGGAGAAGUGACAGGCUGCCCCUUGAGACAGACACCCACGGGUCACAGCUGAAAAACUCUUCAGCUUCACACCCAAUCGUUGUACGUAUCGAGUCAGAGAAUUGUGAAGAAACCACUACAGGAAACUUCCAGGGAGAAACUCCAGAGAUAACCACAUAUCCUAGACAAUACCAAGUAUUCAGAAAAAUCCUGAAAAGAAAUCUGUGGUGUUGUAGCAGGCUCUGAGGGCCCAGCAGCAAUAUCUCUGUUCACGGAAUUCUGCAGAAAAGCCCUGUGAAGGCCUAGGCAGCAGCUUCAAGAGAUUUUUCUUUCACUCAGCUACUAUCCCAAGCACUAUGCCCUAAGGUACUGAAGAUUUAGACAGCAGACACAGUCCCUCACCUCAAGAUUACAGCACAGAAAGAAAAUGACAAAAGCAGUUAGCAGGUCAGGAGCCAGCAAGAGUGUGAACCAGUCAGAAAACAAAGGGCAAAGUGAAAAUAAUGCCAGAAGCCAGACCUCUUUCGGAGCACAACUUAGGGUAGCACCAACAAACAAACAAAUAUCAACAGCAAAACACAUAGAAUAAAAUUUUAAGUAAUGAUAGGAUCAAUAACUGUCUCUCAAGCUACACCAGACUCUUAGGAAUAAUUAAUAAUUAGGAAUAAGGGGAAUAAUUAAUUGUGAGUCUAAUCACAAUUUUGAUAUGCUGUUCAUCACAAAUAUUUCCAUCAUUUUUUUGCCUGAUUUUUUUUUUUUUUUUGAGACAUGCUUUUGCUAAGUAGUCCAGGCUGGCCUUGAACUCACAGUGAUCCUCCUGCCUCAGCCUCCCAGAUGCUGGGAUUGCAGGCAUGUGCACUACAACUACAUUAUUUUAAUUUUUAAAAUAUUAUUUACCUUGAUUGUUAAAUUCACCAGUUCACUUUAUGUUUUGUUGGUAAGGUACCUGGCACUCUGAGAGGACUUGACAUCUUCUCAGAGGCUACACCCUCACAGAAAAAGCGAAGCAGCCCAACCUCCAAAAAGAAACACAGCUGAAGGACAGGGAUCCAAAUUAAAUUCACCCACCUGCUGACUCUCAGAUUAGGUGCUAGAAGGGUCUUAUUUCCCAUACUCCACUUUCCAUUCCUUUUCACACUGCAGAUCAGAGGAAAGAGGAAAUUGGCCUGCUAAUGAAGGUGAAAGAGGGUCAAGCAUUCAGUUAAAAGCAUGUCUUUGCAGAAUCUGACACUUUCAGAGGUGUUUGCAAUAACUUGGUUAGCCUUUUUAAAACUCUUUUUUAAAGCAGUGAUAGGGCCGGGGAUUUAGCUCAGUGGUUCCGGCACCUGCCUCUCAAGCGCAAUAGACCUGAGUUCGAUCCCCGGUAUCGAAAAAAAUUCACUAAAGUAGUGACGACAAAAGCAAUACUGCCCCAUACCCAAAUUUAAGUCUUAGAUAAUGAGGAUUUAGAUAAUUCCCAGAGCACGGGAAUACCUAAAAUCAAUAAAGCUCAAAGUAAACUUCUUACAGUUGCUCCUUUUGCUAUGUAUCUAAUGUGCAGGUUAGAGAAUUUAAUGUAAGAGAGACGAAAACAAUUCCCAGUUUGACAGAGGGAAUCUAUCGCAGAGAAUCUAUAGGCACAUUUUCCAUUACUAGAAAAAUGUGCGAGUUUGUGUGUUUCAAUUUUGCCUAAAGUAUGAAAGUUUUGCUAUACAGUCAGUUUACAUUUUGUGGAAAUACAGAGGAAAUCCUGCAGAACUACUUUAAGCACCUUGUGUCAAAACACAUAUUUCUCAUUGCCUUGAAUUAUUUGAGGAG